UACGUAGGGGGCAAGCGUUGUCCGGAUUUAUUGGGCGUAAAGAGCGUGUAGGCGGCCAGGUAGGUCGGCUGUGAAAACUCGAGGCUCAACCUCGAGAUGUCGGCCGAAACCAUCUGGCUAGAGUCCGGAAGAGGAGAGUGGAAUUCCUGGUGUAGCGGUGAAAUGCGCAGAUAUCAGGAAGAACACCCGUGGCGAAGGCGGCUCUCUGGGACGGUACUGACGCUGAGACGCGAAAGCGUGGGGAGCGAACAGG
rnacentral:rRNA from 1 species